rnacentral:tRNA from 1 species
GCGCCCGUAGCUCAAUUGGAUAGAGUGUCUGGCUUCGGACCAGAAGGUUGUAGGUUCGAGUCCUACCGGGCGCACCA